rnacentral:rRNA from 1 species
CGUGUAGGCGGCUAGAUAGGUCCGUUGUGAAAACUCGAGGCUCAACCUCGAGACGUCGAUGGAAACCAUCUGGCUAGAGUCCGGAAGAGGAGAGUGGAAUUCCUGGUGUAGCGGUGAAAUGCGCAGAUAUCAGGAAGAACACCCGUGGCGAAGGCGGCUCUCUGGUACGUGACUGACGCUGAGACGCGAAAGCGUGGGGAGCAAACAGGAUUAGAUACCCUGGUAGUCCACGCCGUAAACGAUGGGUGCUAGGUGUGGGGGGUGUCGACUCCCUCCGUGCCGAAGCUAACGCAUUAAGCACCCCGCCUGGGGAGUACGGCCGCAAGGCUAAA